UUCCAUUGUAGGAUGAAGGGGAAGUGCUGAGAUCCCCCCAGCAAUGCCAGGUGGGACUUGAGAUGCCUCCAGACAGAAAGGGGCAGCCCAGACCCCUGUGGGCCCAGCAGCUGCUCAGGAGGCCACGAGCCCAGGGAUCCUCCACCACUGGUGCACUGCUUGCUCUGGUGACCAAGAUGGGCCUCUGUCCUGAACCAAGUGAGUGCCCACUCCCUGUGGCUGGCCCCAGCCUCUCAGAGUGCCACCCCGAGUCCUGCACCUCAGAAAAGAAGCUUAAGGACCAUGUUCCCUGUGGUAGCCUUGAGGAGAAGCCUCAUGGAAGACAUCAUCCAGGCCUCAAAGAUCUUGUGUCCCACCUUGGUCCAUAAUCCUGAGCAAGUCACUUCACUGACCUGUUUCUGUAUAUCUCAGAAGGAAGAAGAAUUAUUCACAGUGAAUGUGUUGAAAUGUUUUCAAAUACUAAGGAUGAAAAAAAAACCUGGGUAAAUAUAAUCCUGUGGUUGGUAUACGGCUUGUUGUGGUUGUUGGUGCCCCCUGCUUCUGACUGGCCCGAGGCAGGCUGAUCCUGUAGGUGCAAGCUGGCCCUGCAGAAUUGCUAUCAUCGUGUACAUCGGGACAGCCGUUGGGUGUUACUAUUGCUUUCGUUCUUGUUUUCUUUUCUCUCUUUUGUUAUUCCUUUCUUUCCAGCAUCUAAAAGUCAGAAUACAUUUGUUGUCACACCAAAACUGCCCAGCGUAUGGCAAAGAAGCAGCUAACCUACCUCCUAGAUAGCUGCAAAGCAUUUCGGGAACCCAAGCAGGUCAAAAUGUGUGGGUGAGUCCAACACCUUUUCCUAAGUUGCUUGGGGAAUAACCCGCAGACAGAAGGAGAUGAUCUGGAGGGAGAAAGGGAAUGUGCAAAGAGGCGGGGAAGGAAACGGAGAUUAGAAAGACACAGUCUCCAGGGAAUAAAGCCUUCUCUCCAAAACAGUGGUGUGGCUGGACAACCAAAUGGAAUCAUGUGGGUUCUGAAAUAUUUUCAACUGUUUAAAAAGGCAGUGACUGCAGACCCAGGAAAGGCCAGGGAGUGGGCUUAUCUCCCCCAAGAAUAUCGAUUUGCCUGACUCUCUGUGAAAGAACGAGGGAAAAAUCACAGAUCCAGGUCUAGGCACAUGCUGGUCCAGAGGGGGAAGAGGUUGGAGAGGGCGCUUCCACCUGGACAAGGCAAGCUGCAGAAUGCAGAAAGACACAAGGAGAAAGGAGGGCAGGAGGAGAGCAGAGCUGGAGUGAGCAAGGUCCAGGUGGUGCUGCCCAGAGGGCAGGGCAGGGCACCCCUGAGCGGGUGGUGGUGGCCCUGACUCUGAAACAUUUUCUCCACCUGCAAAAUGGGGCUAUUCGCCACAUCUAUGAGGAAGGUGAUUAGUCAGUGUUUUCCAGAGAAACAGAACCAAUAGGAUGUAUACGCAGAGAGAAAAAGAUUUAUUAUAAGGGAUGGGCUCCCGUAAUUGUGGAGGCAGGUAAGUCCCAAGAGCUGCAGGGUCAGUCUGUAAGCUGGAGACCUGAUGGAGCAGGUCUAGUCUGAGCCAGGAGAGCUGAUGUGCGGUUCCAAUCCGAAGGCCAGCAGGCUCAAGACCCAGGAAGAGCUGAUGUCUCAGGCAGAAAAAAAGCCAACAUCCCAGUUCAAAGGCCAUCAGGCUGGAAGAAUUGUCUCCCACUCAGAGGAGGGUCAGCCUUUUUGUUCUAUUCAGGCCUUCAACUGAUUGGAUGAAGCCGACUGACAUGAGGGAGGGCAAUCUGCUUCGCUCAGUGUAACGAUUUAAGAGCUCAUCUCAUCCAGAAACACCCCCACAGAACCCCCCCGAUAAUGUUUGACAAAAUAUCUAGGCACCUGUGGCCAGUCAAGUUGACCCAUAAAAUUAACCAUCACGCAGGUCAUUUUGAGGACAGAACCACACAACUUGCAUCUGAGGAAGCAGUACGUUUGUAUUCACGUGUAUAGAUGGUAGGCAGCUGAGUUCAUCACUACAACCGUGCCUUGUUCUUGGCCUGAAAUUCCCUCUGGUUGCUUCCUGGGUAAAGUAUGUCCUUGAGCUGAGAGAAAAGGGUGGGGAUUCUUCCUUCAUGGCCGGGGAAGGGAAAACUAAGGGGAGUAGCAACCAGAUCAAUGUCUCCGUUAGCAGCUGAAAGCUAAUGGAGAGCCGGGGCCAGAGCAUGCGGGGGAACUUUGGGCGUAGGAAAAAGGACAAUUGAAGAGGCUGAAAUGUAGGGCUACAGAGAGGGGCACCAAGGCCAGCCUGGCUGGUCGGUGGACGCUCCCCCAGGGAGCCCCAUUGGAGACAGGCCCUGCCUGGGUUCCUCGAGGCUUGUUAUCCUCAUCAGCCUCAGUGCCAGGGCCAGGAGGCCGCCCGUCCUCACGUCUCCAGCUACAGGUCGUGGGUGCUGACGCUUAUACAUACACAGUCCCUGUAAGGUUAGAUUCAAUUAAAUUAGCCGUGAUUCAAAAUCCUUAUUCUUAUCAGAAGCAAGGCGGCAACAGAGGCAGCAUGACUCUACAAGCUUCCUCAGGCCCUCGGAAUGCCAGAGGAGAUGGGUAAGGGCACCUCCCUCAAUCCCUGGGAGGUAGGAUCUUACCAGAAAGUUGAAUUUCUUACUCUAUUAUAGCAGGGCUUACGUCAUGGUUCCAGAAGAAUGUACUUCUAACAAUCUAAGUGCAAGCCAGGAGGAAUGUUCACCCACAUGGGCCUCUUGUGGUUCUGGACCCGAUUCCAGAUCACCAGGGCCAUGUCCUCACGUGGGGGCUAAGCAGAGUCAGCGCCCAGCAGUCCCUGAGCAUUGUCUGCACCCAGGUUGUCGGAAGGAAUCAAGCGUCACUGGGGUGAUGAGAGACACCUUCAGAACUGGGCAGGCUGCAGAGACGUUGCUCCCCUGCUGCCCUUGCUGGGGCCCCACACUCAGGGAACCCCACUUGGGUCAAGUAGGGUGGGCACGUCCAGAGGAAGCGAGGGGCAGGUGGACGGUGGCUUAAAGCCCAGCUCUGUGACCUGGUUCCUGUGACACCUUGGGCUAGUUACCCAGCCUCUCUGGAUUUAAGGUCGCCUCUCCUCUGAACACAGCAGUUCUCAACUCUGGCGAAAAUCACCUGACGAACUUCAAAAAAACAACCAUGCCUGGGCCCCAAGCGAGAUCAACAAAGUCAGACUUUCCUGGGGUAGAACCCGGGAACUGGUCAGAAUUGUCCCAAGUGGUUCCAAAGUGCAUGUCCAUCUUUUCUAAUUUGCUGCUUCCAAUCUACCAGGUUGGCCACCAGAGAACCAAGUGCGUUAGGAUGGGGUGGGCUGUGGAGACGGGUAAUGAUGAGGCCAAGUCUAUGUGGCUCCAAGAUUCGAAUUGGAGUCACAGGAGCAAAUUACAAGGAGGCAGAUUUGGGUUCAGACUCAGAAGAAAUGUCUAACCUUUCCUGAAAUGCCUCUUCUGGAAUUGCCUUCAUGACCAGCUUAUGAGCCACACAAGAUGAUCAGUGUUGCGUAAAUUUAUGCUGAACACACCUAAUUUUGCCAAGAUGGAUGCAUUACCUAGUUCAGUUGACUUUGCUGCAGACAGCUUUGGCUGUUUCCAAAAGUCAAGUCCAUUCCCCAGAGUUACCACAGUGCCGCUUACUGCAAGCGCCUUACCCUCUCUGGGCGUUCUCGGCUUCUUCCCCCAGACAGCUGUGGGGCUCACCCACUUGCCUCACUGUGGUGAGAUUCCAGCGAAAUAAUGAAGGAACGUGGAAGCUUCUGAUUCUGCUGAUCGAAGCUGAAUGAGGGUGAAUCCUCACGUCAUCAGUGAGGAUCUGAAAGGAUGGCGAUGGUUCCAAGUUCUGAAAGUCACUCGAACCUUGGAGUGGAGGGCUUCGGACCCAUGACUUGAUCUCUCUGAACCUCAGUUUCCCCGUCUGUUAACGGGGCUGUGAGGGUCACAUAGGGAACACUUAUAGAGCUCGUAGCCCAAAGUUAACAUUUGCCAAAUGCUCCACAAAUGUUGAUACCUUGUUAUAAUUAUCACCCUUGAAGUAAAUCGAUGGCCUACCGAGGGGACUGUUUUGACGGGGACAACACUCAUUUGGAUGUGUAAGUCUAGAACGUUUGUUACGAAACCAGUCCCGCCUCUCCAUGGUCCCAGCUUCCGUACAGGUUUGUUGACUUCCAUUCAAGUCUCAGGUCCUUGGCUCAGGAGCUCCGCUCCCGUACAGCGCGUCCGGGCGUGAGAACAGAAGCCAAGGCAAGUGUUUGCUUUGGAACAAAGAAGGGCUGGGAUGGGUCUCUGGAGGCGCUCGCCAUUUCAGAAAAAGGAGUCAUCUGUUUCUCAUAAGAUGGAGUGCUGGGCGUGGAAUCCAUGUUCCCAAACUGUCUGGAAUCGCUCGUGACUGGUCUGGCCACAGCUCCUGCGGGUCGGGAGGGGCUGAAGUAGGACCCCGCCACCCUAGACCUUGAAAAUGGACUUGCAUUUCCUUCGAGCCUUCAAAGGUCAGGCUAAAAGCAUUUCCAAGUUGCUCCCACCCUCUCCUCCAUAACUGGAUGAGCGUGUGUGUGCGUGUACAUGUGAGUGUGGGGGGAUGUCGGUGGGGAAGACGUCCAGGUGAGUGAUCCUGAGUCACUGGCCCUGGAAAAUACUGCUCCCACCCUGAUUUAAAGUUCUGAGGGCGCUUUCACUUCUCCUCUCCCUCACUGUGGGAUUUAAGAACUCGCUCUCCUGAUGCCGCUGAAAGUACCAGCCUGGUUGCAGAAAGCCCCACGUGGAACCUCGCCUCCGAUGGACCCGGCCGCCGUGCCCAGGGAAAGGUGCUUUCCAGAGAGGUUAUUCCUCCCUAGUGAGCUCUCAUGCUCAUGUUUUUGUUCCUAGCACCACCACCAUUUCAUUAAACUUUACUUAAAAAAAAAAAAAAA